UUUUGGUUCUGAAGAUCGCAUUGAACAACCUGGAGAGCCACUCCACUCCUGACAUACCCAUGCAUUUUCAAAACUUUAUCGGGAUCUCCAGGCCCGGCCACUCGACCCCUACUCAUCCUACGCAAAGCCCCCACGACCUCCUCCGUCCUAAUGCACCUGCAGUACCCAAGGUCUCUAUGUUGCUCUGAAUGCCCCAACUCCCCUAGCUC
rnacentral:lncRNA from 1 species